UUGUUUUAGUCUCCUGGGAAUCCAUCGGCUCACCGAUGGGCGUUCAGGAGAUACUGGCAACCUAGGGACCGGGAGAGGUGAGAGGUACUCCAGGGGUAGGAGUGAAAUCCUGUAAUCCUUGGGGGACCACCUGUGGCGAAGGCGUCUCACUAGAACGGCUCCGACAGUGAGGGACGAAAGCUGGGGGAGCAAACCGGAUUAGAUACCCGGGUAGUCCCAGCUGUAAACGAUGCGCGUUAGGUGUAUCGGUGACCACGAGUCACCGAGGUGCCGAAGAGAAAUCGUGAAACGUGCCGCCUGGGAAGUACGGUCGCAAGGCUGAAACUUAAAGGAAUUGGCGGGGGAGCACCACAACAGGUGGAGCCUGCGGUUUAAUCGGACUCAACGCCGGGAAGCUCACCGGAUAAGACAGCUGAAUGAUAGCCGGGUUGAAGACUCUGCUUGACUAGCUGAGAGGAGGUGCAUGGCCGUCGUCAGUUCGUACUGUGAAGCAUCCUGUUAAGUCAGGCAACGAGCGAGACCCACGCCAACAGUUGCCAGCAUGUCCUCCGGGAUGGUGGGGACACUGUUGGGACCGCCUCUGCUAAAGAGGAGGAAGGAAUGGGCAACGGUAGGUCAGCAUGCCCCGAAUUAUCCGGGCUACACGCGGGCUACAAUGGUCAGGACAAUGGGUAUCAACACCGAAAGGUGAAGGCAAUCUCCUAAACCUGUCCUUAGUUCGGAUUGUGGGCUGCAACUCGCCCACAUGAAGCUGGAAUCUGUAGUAAUCGCGUCUCAAAAUGGCGCGGUGAAUAUGUCCCUGCUCCUUGCACACACCGCCCGUCAAACCACCCGAGUGAGGUCUUGAUGAGGCUGCGGUAGUCGCCGUGGUCGAAUCUGGGUUUCGCAAGGGGGGUAAGUCGUAACAGGUAAC
rnacentral:rRNA from 1 species